UAAACUAGGAUUAGAUACCCUAUUAUUUUAAAUGUAAAUAAAAUUUACUAAAUUAGUAUUAGGUAUGUUCUUGAAAAUUAAAAAAUUUGGCGGUAUUUUAGUCUUUUCAGAGGAAUCUGCCCUGUAAUUGAUAGUCCACGAUUUAAAUUACUUUAUUUUUAUUGUUUACAUAUCGUCGUAGAUUAAAUAUUUUAAUAGAAUAUUAAUAUUUGAGAUUUUUAAUUAAAAAAUAAAUCAGAUCAAGGUGUAGUUUAUGGUAAAGGAGAGGUGGAUUACAUUUAAUUUAUUAAGGAAUAAUUUUUUUAAAAAAAAUUUGAAUUUGGAUUUGAAAGUAAUUUUAAAAAUUUUUUAAAAUGAUUUUAGCUCUAAAAUAUGUACACAUCGCCCGUCGCUCUUAA
rnacentral:rRNA from 1 species